GGGUCCAGUGCUCAGUAAAAUCCCUAAUGUGUUUUCUUCUAAGCAGCUUCCAUAGCACCUUCUGGUACGGACAGCCAGGGAGGAAGACUCCAGGUUGGUUUGAGAUUGAUGUCCAUGCCUAGCAGCCGAAGUGUGUGACAUCGUCAGAAAUAGAGACUUACCAGCUACUUGUGAUGAAUGGCCAAGGGAAAUUGAAGUAGCUUGUAUUAUUUGGGGGACAUCUGGGACCUUCCUAACCACCAGUUCCUUGGAAGGAAUGUUUUAGAUUCACUCCAAGGAUGUUUUGCCUGCUGGAAACUACUCAGUGUGAAGGAAGGACGGGGUAGUCACAUCCCAUUCUCCUCAGCCCCACCUAGAAGCCCUGCACCUGAUGACAGGUCCUCUUAAAUCCCCUUUCUUCAUUAGGAAACAUUAUGGUUCUACAGAAAGAGGAGCCAGUAAGUAAGACAAGAUCUCUUGCUGGCCUAGAGAUUACCAUGUAAGCAAGGCUGGCUGGUCGAAGAGAGUCAGACAUCUACCUACCUCCACGUCUCUGGUAUUGAGACUACAGUCAUAAGCCAUCAUGCCUGAUUUUUCCAUGUGGAUUCCAGAGAUUGAGCCCAGCUCAUGUGUUCUUUAUUGACUGAGCUUUCUCUUCAGCCCUAGAAUAAAAGCCCAGCUUUUAACCCCAAUACUAUCACCUAAUA